GACAAACGCUGGCGGCGUGCUUAACACAUGCAAGUCGAACGGUCUUCUUUAGGGAAGAUAGUGGCGGACGGGUGAGUAACACGUAGUUAACCUGCCUUUAGGUGGGGAAUAACUCCUCGAAAGAGGAGCUAAUACCGCAUACGCUCUCUGUUGAUAGAUAGAGAGGAAACCUUAGGAGCAAUCCUUGGGGACCGAAAGAGGGGACUGCGGCGGAUUAGCUAGAUGGUGGGGUAAAGGCCUACANGGCGACGAUCCGUAGCUGGUCUGAGAGGACGACCAGCCACACUGGGACUGAGACACGGUCCAGACACCUACGGGUGGCAGCAGUCGA
rnacentral:rRNA from 1 species